rnacentral:rRNA from 1 species
CAGCAGCCGCCGCGGUAACACGUAGGGUGCGAGCGUUAAUCGGAAUUACUGGGCGUAAAGGGCUCGCAGGCGGUUUCUUAAGUCUGAUGUGAAAGCCCCCGGCUCAACCGGGGAGGGUCAUUGGAAACUGGGAAACUUGAGUGCAGAAGAGGAGAGUGGAAUUCCACGUGUAGCGGUGAAAUGCGUAGAGAUGUGGAGGAACACCAGUGGCGAAGGCGACUCUCUGGUCUGUAACUGACGCUGAGGAGCGAAAGCGUGGGGAGCGAACAGGAUUAGAUACCCCAGUAGUCCCUGUCUCUUAUAC